UAGCGUAGGGGGCAAGCGUUGUCCGGAAUCAUUGGGCGUAAAGCGCGUGUAGGCGGCUUGGUAAGUCCGCUCUGAAAGCCCGGGGCUCAACCCCGGGAAGGCGGGGUGGAUACCGUGUCAAGCUCGGAGUCCGGGAAGAGGCGAGUGGAAUUCCUGGUGUAGGCGGUGAAAUGGUCGCAGAUAGUCAAGGAGGAACACCAAUGGCGAAGGCAGACUUACUGGG
rnacentral:rRNA from 1 species